rnacentral:misc_RNA from 1 species
AUGGCUUCCAUGGGAAACUUUCUUCCUGAUGAGUCAACAAACUCCAAAGGCUGUUCAUGGCAGAUCAAUUGCAGCAAGAACAGACCAUCAAUUACCAUUAUCCAUGACAAGGUAUCAUCAUGGAUAUCCAAGUGCUCAUGGUAAUACCCUCGAACAUCUUUAACUUUUCUCUUAAGUUGAUCAAAGAGAAGCUGAAAUUCAGGAAGUUUUAGUCGCUGAUGAACAAUCUGAACCUCAUGAAGCUUGCACUUCU